rnacentral:rRNA from 1 species
GUCCUUAGUUACCAGCACGUUAUGUGGGCGACUCUAAGGAGACUGCCGGUGGCAAACCGGAGGAAGUGGGGAUGACGUCAAGUCAUCAUGGCCUUAGGCCUGGGCUACACACGUGCUACAAUGGUCGGUACAAAGGGUUGCCAAGCCGCGAGGUGGAGCUAAUCCCAUAAAACCGAUCGUAGUCCGGAUCGCAGUCUGCAACUCGACUGCGUGAAGUCGGAAUCGCUAGUAAUCGUGAAUCAGAAUGUCACGGUGAAUACGUUCCCGGGCCUU